rnacentral:lncRNA from 1 species
UCCCCGGGCAGUCCCGGUAAGCCGUCAAAGCCGCGGUCGCCCUUCACACCGGGUUCUCCAGGCACCCCACGCGCUCCGUCCGCUCCCGGCCGACCCCUCCUUCCGGGUUUCCCCGGCGGUCCGAUGAGGCCCUGCGGUCCUCGGGGUCCCUGAGGGCCGAAAUCGCCGCUUUCGCCCUUCAUGCCGACGCUGCCGGGUUGGCCCAUAGGUCCGGGCCGCCCGGUGUAUCCCAUAGGGCCGGGGGG